rnacentral:rRNA from 1 species
AGUGAACGCUGGCGGUAGGCCUAACACAUGCAAGUCGAACGGCAGCACAGUAAGAGCUUGCACUUACGGGUGGCGAGUGGCGGACGGGUGAGGAAUACAUCGGAAUCUACUUUUUCGUGGGGGAUAACGUAGGGAAACCUACGCUAAUACCGCAUACGACCUACGGGUGAAAGCAGGGGAUCUUCGGACCUUGCGCGAUUGAAUGAGCCGAUGUCGGAUUAGCUAGUUGGCGGGGUAAAGGCCCACCAAGGCGACGAUCCGUAGCUGGUCUGAGAGGAUGAUCAGCCACACUGGAACUGAGACACGGUCCAGACUCCUACGGGAGGCAGCAGUGGGGAAUAUUGGACAAUGGGCGCAAGCCCGAUCCAGCCAUACCGCGUGGGUGAAGAAGGCCUUCGGGUUGUAAAGCCCUUUUGUUGGGAAAGAAAAGCAGCAGGUUAAUACCCCGCUGUUCUGACGGUACCCAAAGAAUAAGCACCGGCUAACUUCGUG